rnacentral:rRNA from 1 species
UGGAAUGCAUAGGAAUCUACCUAGUAGUAUGGGAUAGCCACUAGAAAUGGUGGGUAAUACUGUAUAAUCCCUGCGGGGGAAAGAUUUAUCGCUAUUAGAUGAGCCUAUGUUAGAUUAGCUAGUUGGUAGGGUAAAGGCCUACCAAGGCGAUGAUCUAUAGCUGGUCUGAGAGGAUGAUCAGCCACACUGGAACUGAGAUACGGUCCAGACUCCUACGGGAGGCAGCAGUGGGGAAUAUUGGACAAUGGGCGCAAGCCUGAUCCAGCUAUGCCGCGUGAGUGAGGAAGGCCUUAGGGUUGUAAAACUCUUUCAGUAGGGAAGAUAAUGACGGUACCUACAGAAGAAGUCCCGGCAAACUCCGUGCCAGCAGCCGCGGUAAUACGGAGGGGGCAAGCGUUGUUCGGAAUUAUUGGGCGUAAAGGGCAUGUAGGCGGUUCGGUAAGUUAAAGGUGAAAUGCCAGGGCUUAACCCUGGAGCUGCUUUUAUA